CUAAAUCAAAUUUGUAUGCAGUUAGAACAGCGCCCCUAGCGGCAAACGGAGGCACCUGUUCCAACUCCAUACAAAUUUGAGUUG
rnacentral:pre_miRNA from 1 species